rnacentral:rRNA from 1 species
AUUGAACGCUGGCGGCAGGCUUAACACAUGCAAGUCGAACGAGUGGCGGACGGGUGAGUAAUGCUUGGGAAUCUGCCUUAUGGAGGGGGAUAACUACUGGACAUUGUCGCUAAUACCGCGUACCAUAGGAUGAGCCCAAGUGGGAUUAGGUCGUUGGGGGGGUAAUGGCUUAACAAGUCGCCGAUCUCUAGCUGGUCUGAGAGGAUGACCAGCCACACCGGGACUGAGAAAGGGGCCAGAAGCCGACGGGAGGCAGCAGUGGGGAAUAUGGCGGGAUGGGGGCAAGCUGAUGCAGCCAUGCCGCGUGAAUGAAGAAGGCCUGAGGGUUGUAAAGUGCUUUCGGCGAGGAGGCGUUACUCAAAGAAGAAGCACCGGCUAACUCCGUGCCAGCAGCCGCGGUAAUUC